rnacentral:rRNA from 1 species
CGGAGGGGUGCAAGCGUUGUUCGGAAUUAUUGGGCGUAAAGGGCAGGUAGGUGGUCUUAUAAGUCUACUGUGAAACUCCCCGAGCUUAACUCGGGAAGUGCGGUGGAUACUGUAGGACUAGAGUGCUGGAGGGGUUCGUGGAAUACCCGGUGUAGCGGUGAAAUGCGUAGAUAUCGGGUGGAACACCAGAGGCGAAGGCGGCGAACUUGACAGUAACUGACACUAAACUGCGAAAGCGUGGGGAGCAAACAGGAUUAGAUACCCUGGUAGUCCACGCUGUAAACGAUGAAUGCUAGACGUGGUGGGUCUUCGACCCCCGCCGUGUCGAAGUUAACACGAUAAGCAUUCCGCCUGGGGAGUACGGUCGCAAGACUA